CACUUUAAUAAAAAAUCGGAUAUCGGUAAUCGCGGUGGGAUAUCGGUAAUUUUACAGAGGGUGAAGGUGUAGCGGCCCGGUUUAUGAAUGCACAGAUGUGCAGGUAGAAGCUGCAAAGGGAUUCUUGAGAGUAUUAAGAUCUUAUUUGGAUUCACUUUGCUCUAACCUACGUUCUCACACAAUUACAAAUGUUUAGUCAAAUGAUGAUAAGUAAAAAAACCAAAAAGGCGUACCCGUUCUUCUCAUACAGGUCAUUCACGUGGUACCACAAAAUGGGUGGAUCCAGACAAGGCAAGCUCAUCGAGAUAGUCCUACACCAAUACUUCUAUCAGUAUUUCUCGACAUAAUUCAACCAAGAUACGAUCAAAAUCGGCUGCAAUGGAUAGGGCCAGAGUAUUUCCCGACAUAAUUCAACCAAGAUACGAUCAAAAUCGGCUGCAAUGGAUAGGGCCAGAGGUAGUUAGUGAAGAUUACGAGUCCUUAUUCGCUUCUUAACGGAAGAGCUGGAAGUCCGGCUAAGCAAGUCCGGCUGGAAGAGCUGACAUGUAUGAUAUGCUCUACUUCUUAUGAUAUAGUUAUUGUAACAUUGGCUUACUAAAGAUUUAGCACACUAAGAAUGAUUUAAUGUGCUUAAAAAGGCUUCCAAAUUCAUAUGCCAUGGGCUCGUACAUAUAAGAAACUCUCUCUUUUUUAGCAAUUCCUCAUGAAAAACAACCGCCGCCUCUGGUUGAAGUUUAACAUUGGUGUUCAUAAUGAUUUUUUGCUAUUCAAGGGUUUAUUGAUCAAUAGCUUUUUGGAUGUAUUUUUGCUAAGAUGUUAUGGACAUAGUAGGCUAUUACCAGUGUUGUAUAUGGUAUUGCACUUAUGAUUUAAACAGGGUUUGUUAAAGUUAAAUUGCAAUAUGGAUUUUUUAA